CCAAACUUGGUCAUUUAGAGGAAGUAAAAGUCGUAACAAGGUCUCCGUUGGUGAACCAGCGGAGGGAUCAUUAAAAAAAAGGACUCUCGUAGUCUUUAAACCCAUUGUGAACAUACCUACUGUCAGUUGCUUCGGCGGGAGGCGCCCGGGAUUGAUUUCCCGGGGGCCCCGGGGCCCGGCCGCGCCGGGCUCCCGCCGGAGGGACGCAAACCAAACUCUUGUUGUUAAAUCAGCGGCAUUUCCGAGUCAAAACAAACAAACAAAUUAAAACUUUCAACAACGGAUCUCUUGGUUCUGGCAUCGAUGAAGAACGCAGC
rnacentral:misc_RNA from 1 species